UUUCAGAAGAAGGUAUGCAACAUCCUUCCAGUGGCUGCACAGGUCUAAAUUAGCAUCAAGGAAAAAGAAAACUGCCCAGGAAGGAUAUGGAACCCAACGAAAUAAGAUACUGUACUAAAGAAGCAACCACAAUUCCCACAAGAAGGCAAAAUUGAAAAUUGAAAACAUAAUUGACUGUA